CUGGAAGCGCGGCUUUUGUAUUGGCAGUGCGGGGCUCCGCGCCGCGCGCCCCAGCGGCCGGGACCGAGGCGGGUGCCCGCCCGAGGCCCGAGGGCUGUGGCUAACGGCCUGGGGGAAGAUGGCGGCUGCCGGUGGGCGAGGGGACGGCGGACCGUGCUGGGCACUUCGGUCGCGUGCUCGGAGCGGCUGGGAACGCAGGCCUGAGUUUUCCCAGAAGCCGCCCAGGCCCGCGACCGCGCUCGGCUGUUCCACGAAGCUCUAGCUUUGCAGUGCCCACUUGGCUGGUCCCGGUCUUGUCCAUGAACGGAAUUACAGGGAAGGAGAAAGAAAACAGACCGAGCCAGCAGGAGCAGGAGUCGCCCCCGGAGAGUCAUGGCCAGGCAGGGUCACUCAACCUGGGCAGGGGUCAUUGUGGCCCCGGGGAACACAGGCGGGGUAGGUCGUUUCUGCUGGGGAGAUACACGGUGACCCAGGGAGCCACAAGUAGGCGGAGCUGCUCAUGCGGCACUGGGGCAGGUGUCUAAAUGACCCCAAGGAGCCGUGGGGAGUGGGACUCACUCAUUCAGGGUCAUGUGGACCUCGCGGAGCCAUGGCCAGGCAAGGUCACUCAUCCCUGCAGGGGCAGAGGGUACAGUGGCCCACGUUGGUGACAAGGACACCAGGCCCUGGUGUCCGGAACAGUUUGCUCCCAUCAUGGGAGGAUGCACUUCACCUCAUGAACUGAACAGACCUCUGACAGGCUCCAGCUCCUGCUACCAGAGAAGUAGGUAAAUUCUGGAGAGUGGGGAGCGGAGGGAAAUGAGGGUUAGAAAAAAAAGAGGCCCUGGGCUGUGCUAGGGGCUUUUACAAAAAAGAAAGGGCGCUCCCCAGACUUAAGAUCAUCAGGGUCAAAGCGGGCAGCCAGAAAAGAUUAAGUCACAAAAGACAUGGUAUUUUUACUUUUUUUUUUUUAAUUUACUUUUUACUUGUAGUUGGACACAAUACCUUUAUUUUGUUUAUUUAUUUUUACGUGGUGCUAAAGAUCCAACCCAGGGCCUCCCACAUGCUAGGCAAGUGCUCUACCACUGAGCCACAAUUCCAGCCCCUUUACUUGGUUUUUAUUUUUCAAACUAACCCUUCAUAGAAAAAUAACUAUAAAACUACUUGAUAAUUUCUUUGUUUCGACGUCAUUUUUAAAAAGUAGAAAGCCAGUUUAUUAACAAUGAGUAUAAACAUUGUCAACAGCAAUAAAGUGCAUGUGUAGACUAGUCAGUGUCAGUGCAUUAUCUCCCUGCAGAAAAAUCUAUAUGGGAAGCCAGAAUGUAAUUAGAAGGUUAUUUUAUUAAUAGGGAGGAAGAAGAAAAGGAUUAAAUUCAAUGAUUAGCUCAUUAGCUCCUGAUACCCCUUUGCUACCAACCUCACUGUUGGGCUGAUCCUGCCGGGGAGAUUAGAGUCAGCUGCACCACUUGCUUACCUACUUCUCUUUCUCUUAGCAAGGGUAAUUGGUAGUUACCAGCUGGAGCUGAAGUUAGGCCUCUGCCAAGACCCUCUUCAUACAGACCUGUCUGUAAAAUUGGGACAAUAAUAGUCAUCAUAGGUUUGUUUAAAGGAUUAAAUGAAAUGAUAGAAGUACAUUCUUUAGCACAAUGUCUAGCCCAUAAUAGGUAUUUUUUAAAAUAUAUGCUGUAAAAAAUUAGCUCUUCCUGCAAAUAACUUUUCACUGGCUUUCAAGUGCUCUUAGGAGAAAGGUUAAAAUCCCUACAUAUGCUGGGUGUGGUGGUUCACAACUAUACUCUCAGCAACCCAGGAGGCUGAGGCAGGAGGAUCAUGAGUUCAAGGCCUGUCUCAGCAAGUUAGUGAGGUCCUGAGCAAUUUAGUGAAAACCUGUCUCAAAAUAAAAACUGAAAAGGGCUGGGGAUGUGACUCAGUGGUUAAACACCCCUGGGUUCAAUCCUCAGUACAAAAACAAAAAACCUACAUACUCUAAAGGCCUGAGUGUGGCUUGGCUGCUGCUUCAAGUUUAUCUUUCUGUUGUCUACCUUGAAUUUCUUAUAGUUAGCAACAGUUCAAGUUAUUGAUUCCCAUCAAAAUAAAGUGAGACAUGGGCUGGGCCUAUAACUCAGUGGCAGAAUGCUUGCCUAGCAUGUGUGAGGCACUGGUUUCCAUUCUUAGCACCACAUAAAAAUAAAUAAAGGCAUUCUGUCCACCUACAACUACAAAAAUAAAAAAUAAAGUAAGACAGCUGGGCGUGGUGGGGCUCACCAAUUAUUCCAGUGACUCUGGAGGCUGAGGCAGGAAGAUCAUGAGUUCAAAGUCAGCCUCAGCAAUGGCGAGGUGCUAAGCAACUCAGUAAGACCCUGUCUCUAAAUGAAAUACAAAAUAAGGCUGGGAUGUGGCUCAGUGGUCGAGUGCCCCUGGGUUCAGUCCCCUGUAACUUAAAAAAAAAAAAAAGGAGAGGAAGGAAAGGAAGCAGAAAAAUGGCAGAAGAAAGUGGGGCAGGGAAGAGGCCCGGUGACCCGGGAGGUCCAGGAGAGGAGGCCGGCUGGUCUCUAGCAAGGCACUGUGAUCAACAGUAUUAAGAGCUGCCCUCUUGGAGAAAGUGCAGGCCACCUGUUCUGACUUCACAGGUUACUGCCCCGAGGGCCAGACAGACUGGUAGAGGUCCUUCGUUGGUUCCAUAGUGAGCAUUAAUGAACUUGUUGAAUGUGGGAUGGUGUAAAGCACAUGGGGAAAUCUAUUCCCUGUCUUCUUUGGGCUCUAGCCUUUUCAACCCAGAGAACACUCAGGGAGCAGUCUUCCCUGAGAGUGCAGAGCUGGGCCUGCAUAAAGUGGUUUUCAGGGCUCAGACAGUCUUACCUGUCUGCCUGUCAAGGAGAGAGUUCAGGAAGACAGAGCAUUUGCAGGCCAAGAAGCUGUUGGUGUGGCCAGAGAGGAAGAGGAAGAUGGUGCCGCGGACAGCCAAGAGCAUAGCCACAGUGGGAGGCCUGGAGAAGGAGGCGAUGGGCUAUGAGUCUCAGAGCAGCUGCUAGGUGAAGGUGAGCAGGGAGAAAAGUCUCCAAGGUUCGGCCAGCCCUUUAGGGGCAAAGUCUGGAGUGUCAGAUGGCCUUAGGAGAAGGCCAAGUCCAGUGAAUCAGAAGCAAUGACUGUAUGCAGCCUUCAUCUUUAGGCUGUUGGUAUUUUGUUUAUAUUUCUGUGAUUUUUCUCUCAUCACAAUCAAACCCUUUUGCAUCUCAGUCAAGAAGCGCAGGAUGGAGAAGUGCAUGGGGGGCAGUGGAGACACAGUGGUACCUUUUUGAGGGGCCCUGUUGUGAGGUCUAGUGCCCUCAUCACAGCACUAGUUCCUUCUUUGUCUUAGAUGAGAACCCCCAUGUGCUCCACCCAAGUCACUGUGGAGUCGUGGUGCAGCUGGGACUGGAACCUGGAUCUAAGCCCAGGUCCCUGUGCAGACACCAAGCAGCACUGCCCAAGGCAGUGAGAAGUGGUGUCCAUCCCCCACACCUUUUCCUUUUAACACACACUAAACAAUUCAGAGAAAUGUGGGUUUUCUCCUAACAAUUUUUAUGACCAUCUCUCUGGGAUACUGUGGAUAUUAAAUCAUUUUCCUUCUAUUUUUAUUGUGGGAAAAUACACAGAAUAUAAAGUUUGCCAUUGUAACUGUUUACAGCUCUGUGGCAAUCGGCCUCAUUGUGCCUGUGUACUCUUUUUAUUAGCAGUUAGGUGUGCUUAGUGGACGCCCAUCAAUGGGUUUAACUGUUGCUUCGUUGGUUGAUGUUCACGUUGUUUCUUGCCUGCCAUCUUUGCACAUGUACUUUUGUGAAGCAAUGUUCUGUGUGUGUGUGUAAAGUAUUCGACUGUAGCUGAGCUUGGUGGCGCAUGCCUGUAAUCCCAGCAGCUCCAGAGGCUGAGGCAGGAGGAUCACAAUUUCAAAGCUUAGGGCCUUGCAACUUAGCAAGGCCCUAAGCAACUCAGUGAGACCCUGUCUCUAAAUAAAAUAUGUUAAACAAAGAAAAAGGCUGGGGAUGUGGCUCAGUGGUUACGUGCCCCUGGGUUCAAACCCCAGUACUAAAUAAAUAAAUAAAAUAUUUCCAAGAUGGGAUAGAUGAGACACAGAUAUGUACAUUCUUACCUGUUAGUAAUUGCAGCCAGAGAACUUUCCAGAUGGCUGUCAGAACUCACAUUCUCAGUAGGGAGUGAGUAUCAUUUUCUAAUUCACCAAAUGCUGGAUGUUAUUGCUUUUUAAAAUUUUUGUAAGUAUGAAAAAUGGUAAAAGAAUAUUUUUAUAACCUUGGCAGACUUUUGCAAGUAAGAUAGAAACCACAAAAGACUGAUAAGAUUUAACAACAUAAAAAUGAAAACUCACUUUAUAAAUAAAAUCCAAAGACAGACAACUUGGGAAAACGUUUUCAACAUAUAAGACAAAGGGUUAAUACCAAUUAGUGAAAAAGGAAGAACUGUGCAGCUGCGCAGCCUGUCAUCCCAGCUACUCAGGAGGCUGAGGCAGGAGGAUUUCUGUUCAAGGCCAGCCUCAGCAACUUAGUGAGACCCUGUCUCAAAAUAAAAAGAUAGGUUGGGGAUGUGGCUCAAGGGGUAGCGCGCUCGCCUGGCAUGCGUGCGGCCCGGGUUCAAUCCUCAGUACCACAUACAAAACAAAGAUGUUGUGUCCACUGAUAACUGAAAAAUAGAUAUUAAAAAAAUUCUCUCUCUCUCUCUCUCCCUCACUCUCUCUUUAAAAAAUAAAUAAAUAAAUAAAUAAAUAAAUAAAUAAAUAAAAAGAUAAAGAAGCUAAGAAUGUAGCUCAAUGGUAAAGAGCCUCUGGGUUCAAUCCCCAGUACCAAAAUAUAAAUAAAUAUAAUGAAAACUAGUGGAAAGAUUGCAAGUAGAUAGUUUACCAAGAUGAAAGUGGAAAUUACCAAUAAACAUGAAAAGAUGUUCAGCCUCAAAAUUCAUUUGCAUAGUGAGUUUGGGAAAAGCCACGGCCAUGGAGGUGGGGAGGGGUGGACGGAGGAGAAAUCCAGGGAACAAGAUGCUGUGCUCCCCAGAGUGUGGCCUCUGGGGAGCUGCAUGAUGCAGAUGGCGCCUUCCAGAGGGGUGCCAUUCCUGGGAUACGCAGGAACUGGAAUCUCCCAGGAUUCCAGUCUCCUUGCCUCCACGGGAGACAGUCCUCUGGAUGGAGCCAGGUCUGCUUGUGGCAAAGGCUGCUGCUCCCCGCUUAGGGACUUUCUGGCAAUGUUUCUGCCCCAGCCUGUCCAGCACCCUGUCUGCUGCUGAGAGCAUGGCUCUGCUCCUGGUUCAGGGUCCCGUGUCAGGGGGGUGGCUCAUCUCUGCUGUGGUGCACUUCCCAGCCAGCCUGCAGCUUCUCUUCCAGCCUUCUGAUCCCAACAAUCAAUGUGUCAUCUGGGGACCCUUCAGGAGAACACCUACCCCCUCUGGAGAGAGGACUUGGUUUUAGACCUGCCCUCAGCUCUGGCUCCCCUGUCUGCCUGCAGCUGUGCCCCACUAAGACCGUUUAUUGCUUUCAUUCCCAUACCCAGCUUUGCUUGCUGUGCUCCUGGGCCCCCUGACCUGCCUUCUCAUCUGUUGACUCUUUUCCCUUGUGUUUGGAUCAGUGUAUUUGGACAGACCUCCCUGUAACUGAUAUCUGACUUGAUCUCAGGAUCCUCCCACUGUAAACUGUCCUCACCUCCGUCCAGCAGCCACAGGAUGACCAUGCUCUGUGCCCUGGUAACCGAGGAUGUUGGGGCAGAAACAGUAAGGAAUUCCUUUAUCUAAUCCCUAUUUUUCAUCUUGCCCAGGUUCGCCCUGAGGGAGGAUGGGGCCGCACCCAGGACAGAAAAGGCAUAAGUCAGAGGAUGCUGACUGGGGGCCAGCCAGACAUGGUGACCACAGAAGCCGAGACCCUCUCUGCUGGGAGCAGAGUACAAGCCUUAUCCCUAAAUUUAGCCUGUAGCAAUCCUUUAUGUGCAGUCCUGAGGGACCAUGGCACUUCCCAAGGAAGGCAGCCCCGUAGAAUGCGUGGUAGAAGGACCCUCUACCUGGACAGACUUGCACUGGGGGCACUUCCUGUGUGACCUUGACUUCCAGGAGGAGCCUGAUUCCUGCACCAGUGAGCACCUCUUCAUGCAGACGGCAGAGGUCAUGGCCUCCCACGGCUGGAAGAACACAGGUUCUGAGGACCUCUGCACUGGCCACUCUGGAUAGCUCCCCAAAGAGACUGAAAAGGCACACUUCAGGGAGACCCUCAGUGCAUUUGUGGUGGGAGCUGCCGCCAGGCUGAUUAUGUCCAUGGCAAAGGGCCGAAGCCAGGGAUCGAUGCAGAUGUUGGAAAUGUAACCUGCAAGGGUUUCCUGGGAGCUUGGACACUGUGACAUGAUGCCCAGUCCUUGGCUGACUGGGAGCAGAUCUGCAGAAGUGCCGCUGCUGUCACGUGACUGUGGGAGACAUUUGGCAGAUGGUCAGAAGCAGGUCACUGGCUCUGAAUGGGACCAGCAAAAGCAUCGUAUGCGCCUGUGAGUGGCCCCUUUACACUGUACCCUGUCAUGGUCCCAAUUACAUAGAAAUCUGACAGCACUGUAAUUACUGGAGAAAUUCUACAAACAUCUACAAUUCCUGGGAAAGUAUAAACGGCAUCUUGACCUGAAUAGCUUCUAACCAGGAAAGGAUUGUUAAUGUCGCUGGACCAGGGAUUGGAAUGACCCAGAUAAGUUAGAGAUGGGCAACUUUGGCCUCAGCUGGGGCAGCAGUGAUGCAGAUGGCCCCUGGCCAUCAGGGCAGCUCUUUUGCCCGUGCCUGACGACCUCUGACACAUCAUCCCUCAAACCAAGGCUCUGCUUCAGGACAAGGACGUAACUGCCAUCACCUAGGACCCCUGGGCAAGCAGGACUCUGUACUCAGAAAGGAAGGUGGUGUGCACCUCUCUCUGGUGAGGCCAGGGCUGUGGCCAUAGUAAAUCUGCAGGAGAUGGGAGGACUCUGCUCUCACUCUGCCUGGCCUGCUGCUCUGGGCGGAGGCCAAGCUUGUCAGCUGGCCUGCCAGGUUGCCCAGCUCCUCUCUGUGAAGAGGGAGCUUGGGCUCUUGAUCAGGCUUUGGCCUUGAAAACUUGUAUAACAAACCAGACCAUAGAAAAAAAGUGGACUUUAGUGGCCAGGGCUUAGCUAGGCGGCAUAGCAUGUACCAAUCCUGCACAAGGCCCCGGGUUCACACCCCAGUAUCCCCCAAAAUCCAUCUUAAAAUGUACAGUAUACAGUAUACAGUAGUUCCAAUUUCAGAAAAUGUUAUUCAAGGAUAUAGCUGUAUUGCUGCUAAGUGACCAACAGGUGGGCAUUGUAUACGGCAUGGACACACUGGACAAGGACAACAGGUGUCUUGGCGAGGUGGAGCUGCCCAGGCAAGGGCCAUGCAGGGCCUACGGAUCGCCCAUCUCUGGCCUCCCGCUUACCAAUUCUGAAGCACAGUGGGCCACAGUACGGCAGCGGAGAGGGCUUGCAGGUGGAGGUCUGCUGACAUUGUCAGGUGAUGACCCUGCCCCUCCCUCCUCCUCCACCCUCACUUAAAAAGCUGUUUUCUUGAAUAACAUUUUCUGAAGUUGGAACUCUUUUAAAGCAAACAAAAAUCUUACCUGGCUCUCUGUUUACUACN
rnacentral:lncRNA from 1 species